rnacentral:rRNA from 1 species
GAUGAACGCUAGCUACAGGCUUAACACAUGCAAGUCGAGGGGUAACAAGAGGAAAGCUUGCUUUCCUUGUUGACGACCGGCGCACGGGUGAGUAACGCGUAUCCAACCUGCCUAUAACUAGGGAAUAACCUUGCGAAAGUAAGACUAAUACCCUAUGAUUUCCUUUGAUGACAUCAGAUUAGGAAUAAAGAUUUAUCGGUUAUAGAUGGGGAUGCGUCUGAUUAGCUUGUUGGCGAGGUAACGGCCCACCAAGGCAACGAUCAGUAGGGGUUCUGAGAGGAAGGUCCCCCACAUUGGAACUGAGACACGGUCCAAACUCCUACGGGAGGCAGCAGUGAGGAAUAUUGGUCAAUGGGCGGAAGCCUGAACCAGCCAAGUAGCGUGCAGGAUGACGGCCCUAUAGGUUGUAAACUGCUUUUAUACAGGAAUAAAGUUAGCCACGUGUGGUUAUUUGUAGGUACUGUAUGAAUAAGGACCGGCUAAUUCCGUGCCAGCCGCCGCAGUAA